GGUGUUAUUUAACCAAAUGUUAUAUGAAGCCUGUGGAGAGUUUUGAAAUGCAAAACCUGCAUGCUUGCCCAGGAUAAAAAAAAGCUCAAGGGCUGAUAACAUAUAGACGGGGUGUCAACAUGUUCUGGGAAAACAAGUUUGAUCCACGAAGGUCCCAUCUUACAGCACUGAAAGGAUCUGCUGCAAACAUUUUGGUGCCAGAUACCACACCAGGUUUUUGUUCUGUAAUUGCAUUAAGGAUCUGCAGAGAAGUUCUUUUAGGCUGGAAAAUGAGGCCCAUAAGAGCUUAGUUCUUAUGUUAUGUCUAAUUUAGACAUGUUUUACUGUAGAGGCCUUUACAGAAGAUACACAAAACUAAUUCAGACUCAAUUUAACUAUUGUGAGAAAGAUAAUGUUACAUUCAUUUGAAGCAUGCAGAAUGCAAUUUCAUUUUACAAGGUGUCUUCUGUUGUUUUUUUUUAGAAUGUAAAUUUCUUUCCUGCAGAAAAGUGCAAUACAAAUAAUCUGCCAUGCCUUGCCUUUUGAGUAGCAGAAUAAAUAAACUCCAUUAAUAAAGUCAAGACAGACCUUUUGUUGUUGAGUUUAGGUAAUGUUCCUUUUAUCCUUUGUUUGCUAUAAGGCUUUGUAUUCCUUUAUGCAUGAGCUUUGAUUCGAUCUAAAGGAAACAAUUUACACUUAAUAUCAGAUAUUGAGCAUUUUUGUAAGAAGUAGGGAUUCUAUGGCUGAUGACAUUUGAUUAAAUGUAUUGCCGGAGAUUCUUCAAUCAAAACAUAUCUGAAUGUUUUAAACCAUGUUUAAUGAACUUUGUGUUAAAUCAAGGCUGGCUCUGACAAAAUAUACUGUCCUGCAUAUAAAUGUAUUCAAAAUUUACUUCUUGAAAAUGUUCAAGUUUAGAUAUGGUGUAACCUCAAAUUUUAUGGUAUUUUUAUUUUACAGGUAAAGAUCUACAAAA